UACGAAAGGUGCAAGCGUUAAUCGGAAUUACUGGGCGUAAAGCGUGCGCAGGCGGUUUUGUAAGCCAGAUGUGAAAGCCCCGGGCUUAACCUGGGAAUGGCAUUUGGGACUGCAAGGCUUGAGUGCGGCAGAGGAGACUGGAAUUCCUGGUGUAGCAGUGAAAUGCGUAGAUAUCAGGAGGAAUACCGAUGGCGAAGGCAGGUCUCUGGGCUGACACUGACGCUCAUGCACGAAAGCGUGGGGAGCAACAGG
rnacentral:rRNA from 1 species